GAUGAACGCUAGCGGCAGGCCUAAUACAUGCAAGUCGAGGGGUAGAGGAAGCUUGCUUUCUUGAGACCGGCGCACGGGUGCGUAACGCGUAUGCAACCUACCUUUAUCAGGGGGAUAGCCCGGAGAAAUCCGGAUUAACACCGCAUAAAAUCACAGAACAGCAUUGUUUCAUGAUCAAAUAUUUAUAGGAUAAAGAUGGGCAUGCGUGCCAUUAGCUAGUUGGCGGGGUAACGGCCCACCAAGGCGACGAUGGCUAGGGGCUCUGAGGGGAGAAUCCCCCACACUGGUACUGAGACACGGACCAGACUCCUACGGGAGGCAGCAGUAAGGAAUAUUGGUCAAUGGGGGCAACCCUGAACCAGCCAUGCCGCGUGCAGGAAGACUGCCCUAUGGGUUGUAAACUGCUUUUGUACGGGAAUAACCACUGGUAUGUAUACCAGCCUGAAUGUACCGUAAGAAUAAGGAUCGGCUAACUCCGUGCCAGCCGCCGCAGUAAAAC
rnacentral:rRNA from 1 species